GGGAAGGUUCUAGAAAAGCGGCGGUCCCGGCUCCAGCGGCAGUAGCAGCGGCGCCGGGUCCUGUGUGCAGGUGUUCCCAGCGGCGCGGUUUCUCGAGCAGCGGCUGCUCUCCCCCCCCACAGCGUCAGGACGAGUCCCGUGCGUGUGCGUCCGCGGAGGUCUUUCUCUUCUCGCUCGGCUGCGGGAAAUCGGGCUGAAGCGACUGAGUCCGCGAUGGAGAAAACUUUAGAAACUGUUCCUUUGGAGAGGAAAAAGAGAGAAAAGGAACAGUUUCGUAAACUCUUUAUUGGUGGCUUAAGCUUUGAAACUACAGAAGAAAGUUUGAGAAACUACUAUGAGCAAUGGGGAAAGCUCACAGACUGUGUGGUUAUGAGAGAUCCUGCAAGCAAAAGAUCAAGGGGAUUUGGAUUUGUAACAUUCUCAUCCAUGGCUGAGGUUGAUGCUGCCAUGGCUGCAAGGCCUCAUUCCAUUGAUGGCAGGGUGGUUGAGCCAAAACGUGCUGUAGCAAGAGAGGAGUCUGGAAAACCAGGAGCCCAUGUGACUGUGAAGAAACUGUUUGUUGGUGGAAUUAAAGAGGAUACUGAGGAACACCACCUUAGAGAUUAUUUUGAAGAAUAUGGGAAAAUUGAUACUAUUGAAAUAAUUACUGAUAGGCAGUCUGGGAAGAAAAGAGGCUUUGGCUUUGUUACUUUUGAUGACCAUGAUCCUGUGGAUAAAAUUGUAUUGCAAAAAUACCACACCAUCAAUGGCCACAAUGCAGAAGUUAGAAAGGCAUUGUCUAGACAAGAAAUGCAGGAAGUCCAAAGUUCUAGGAGUGGACGAGGAGGAAACUUUGGUUUUGGGGAUUCUCGUGGUGGUGGUGGCAAUUUUGGACCAGGACCCGGAAGCAACUUCAGGGGAGGUUCUGAUGGAUAUGGAAGUGGACGUGGAUUUGGGGAUGGCUAUAAUGGGUAUGGAGGAGGACCUGGAGGUGGCAAUUUUGGAGGUAGCCCUGGUUAUGGAGGAGGAAGAGGAGGAUAUGGUGGUGGAGGACCUGGAUAUGGCAACCAGGGUGGGGGCUACGGAGGUGGUUAUGACAACUAUGGAGGAGGAAAUUAUGGAAGUGGAAAUUACAAUGAUUUUGGAAAUUAUAAUCAGCAACCUUCUAACUAUGGCCCAAUGAAGAGUGGAAACUUUGGUGGUAGCAGGAACAUGGGAGGACCAUAUGGUGGAGGAAACUAUGGUCCUGGAGGAAGUGGUGGAAGUGGUGGCUAUGGUGGAAGGAGCCGAUACUGAGCUUCUUCCUACUUACCAUGGAUCUUUUAGAUGCUGCUUCUUCAAUGCAAGGAAAGGAAAUAACCCCAGCGAGGUACUCUUCAGGGACACAGGUCUAGUACAAGAGAACUCUUGACGACUAAGCUCAGCCAGUCUUAAGAAACUGUGCUGUAUCUACAAAGCUUAAACUACAGUAGUUGAUAAGGAUGCCAACGAAAGCUGAGGGUGUAGAGCAAAGUAGUUCUAAGCUUCAGUUAAACUUCUUUAGGUAAGAUCUUAUUUACUUUUUCUUUCUUAAUUUUCCUCCCUAAAAGAUAAACUAAUAAACUCUUCAAUGGUCUUUUCAGUAUAGUGGUUCUUAUGUAGUUUAACAUAGCUAUAUAAAUUGAGUUUAACAUAAUAAACUCAAGAUAAUUUUAUAAACCCUGUUUUCCAAUCUGUCAUUUACUUAUAUCAUUUUGGUUGUUUUCCCUUUUUUUCCUUCUUUCUCACCCCCUCCCUUUCCAUGAAGAUUCAGGUGCUUAACAUAUCAUUUUUUUCCCUGCUGGAAUUUUAGCAUUGAUAUGAACCAUGGACAAGUAUAUUCUGCUGCCACAAAGACUGUAAAGUGCUUCAUUUCAACAGCUGAGGCAAGCCAAGUGAUCAUUAAUAAAGCUUUUCUUGCUUCCUUCAGUGGUGUUGGUAGUAAAAUGGAAGGUGUCUUGCUGCAGGUAACUAAUGAAGAAGUGGUCAACCACAGAGUCUGCAAGAAAUAAGAAAUUCUGUACCAUCUGAAAGUAGUUCUUGUUGGUGCCUUCAUUUAAGAAGCACUUUAAAGAUAAAAGGGAAUGUUUUCUGAUUAAAAUCUUGAUUUAGUACAGGUUCUUGAUAAAAUUACAAAGUGAAAUGAGUACUGUUUGUAAAGAGUUAACAUCAAAUUAGCUAAGGAUAAUGUAUUAUGUUUUAAAAUAGGAUUUGUGAGUAGACAGAUGAGUUAUUUUGAGUACAAGUUUUAUAAAAUAAAUACUUUUGUAUCCAAA